ACCAGGUGAAAUCCAUCGCAUCACAGGCAGACACACGGCCGCCAGCUACGUGGAGAUACUCGAUGAGGUCCUUCUCCCUACGCUCGAGGAGAUGCGGGGUGACCACCCUCACGUCAUUGUUCAAGAUAAUGCCCCGCAGCACACCGCCACCAUCACUAAAAACUGGUUUCAAGACCACGAAGGCCAAGUGACAGCGCUGGAAUGGGCCCC